UACGUAGGGACCAAGCGUUGUUCGGAUUUACUGGGCGUAAAGGGCGCGUAGGCGGCCCGCUAAGUCGAACGUGAAAUCCCCGAGCUCAACUCGGGAACUGCGUCCGAUACUGGCGGGCUUGAAUCCGGGAGAGGGAUGCGGAAUUCCAGGUGUAGCGGUGAAAUGCGUAGAUAUCUGGAGGAACACCGGUGGCGAAGGCGGCAUCCUGGACCGGCAUUGACGCUGAGGCGCGAAAGCUAGGGGAGCAAACGGG
rnacentral:rRNA from 1 species